rnacentral:rRNA from 1 species
GGGAUAAACGCUGGCGGCGUGCCUAACACAUGCAAGUCGAACGUCCUUGCGGUCUUCUUCUUCGGAGGAGGACCGCGAGGGAGUGGCGGACGGGUGAGUAACACAUGGGUACCUGCCUUUCAGUGAGGAAUACCGGCGAGAAAUCGCCGACAAGACCGCAUAGGCUUCCUUCGGUAGCCCGAGGAAGCAAAGUUCCGCCGCAAGGAGGACGCUGGAAGAGGGGCCUGUGGCCGAUUAGCUAGUUGGGGGGGUAACGCCUCCCAAGGCGACGAUCGGUAGC